UACAGAGGAGCCAAGCGUUGUCCGGAUUGACUGGGCGUAAAGCGCACGCAGGCGGACGCGCGCGUGGGGUGUGAAAUCUGGCCGCUUAACGGCCAGGCGCCAUCCCAUACGGCGCGUCUGGAGUGAUGCAGAGGUCGGUGGAAUUGCCGGUGUAGCGGUGAAAUGCGCAGAUAUCGGGAGGAACACCGGUGGCGAAGGCGGUUCUCUGGGCCUGUACUGACGCUGAGGAGCGAAAGCGUGGGGAGCAAACAGG
rnacentral:rRNA from 1 species